GAUCCACCCACCUCGGCCUCCCAAAGUGCUGGGAUUACAGGCAUGAGCCACCGUGCUCAGCCGCAAAAUUCUUUAUGAAUUUUACACUUGGCAAAUGUUAAUGACGGAAGCCAUAGUCUGCUCCUAAUACAUGUCCAAAGCAUUGACUGUUGUGUCAUUAGCUGCCUGGUUACAUUAGCUCCCUGGCUUCUUGUUUAGACCACUGCUAAUCCCUUAAAAACAAGAGGUCUGGCACUAGUAGCACAACCUAAGGUGGCAUUACAGAUCUUUGAGCGAGCCACAGCAACUUUUCUGCCAAGUCAGCUUAGUUUAGACUUCAGUGAAUCAGGCUAUUGCUAUCCUAAUGUAUGUCUCUAUGAGUGUAUUUAGCCACACAUCUGCCCUUGGUUGACUUUCUGACUCAUUGCUUGCUUGCUUGUUUCCUUGCUUUGGAAAACUAUUGAAGAUUGCUAAAAAAUACCACUGCAAAGUGAUGGAAAAGGGUGGAGAACAGGGGAGUAGCCAGGCUGGAUGGCUCAAAUAUAAAUGAAUGAGGAAUUCUUUAUGAAGUAUCAGUCAGAUUUUAUGAUUAAGUGAUGUAAUAUAGGAAUUAUGUAAAAGGGAAGAAUGUCUGAUACUGAUCUAUUAGAGAGGUACUUUAGAGGCUUCUUGAUUGGCAUAAAGUUCCUAAGGUUAUAGAUUUUCCCCCCUUUUGGCUGUAUAGCAAAGUGUUUUAAUCCACGGUUGUGCCUUAUUGUUCCAUUAAAAUUGUAUCUUCGAUCCAUCAAUAAAUACUUGUGGUUGAAACAAAAUAA
rnacentral:lncRNA from 1 species